UUUGAACAAAAAAAUGUAGAACUAAUUUUUAGACUCCUGUUCUUCCAACCCAGAAAUAGAAUUAGACCAGAGGAUACUUAGCAACUAUGAACAGGAGC